rnacentral:rRNA from 1 species
GACGAACGCUGGCGACGUGCCUAACACAUGCAAGUCGAACGGAACUGUUUUGAAAGAUUUCUUCGGAAUGAAUUUGAUUUAGUUUAGUGGCGGACGGGUGAGUAACGCGUGAGUAACCUGCCUUCAAGAGGGGGAUAACAUUCUGAAAAGAAUGCUAAUACCGCAUGACAUAUCGGAACCACAUGGUUUUGAUAUCAAAGAUUUUAUCGCUUGAAGAUGGACUCGCGUCCGAUUAGUUAGUUGGUGAGGUAACGGCUCACCAAGACCGCGAUCGGUAGCCGGACUGAGAGGUUGAACGGCCACAUUGGGACUGAGACACGGCCCAGACUCCUACGGGAGGCAGCAGUGGGGGAUAUUGCGCAAUGGGGGCAACCCUGACGCAGCAACGCCGCGUGAAGGAUGAAGGUUUUCGGAUUGUAAACUUCUUUUAUUAAGGACGAAAAAUGACG